UGCAAUGUACUUUGGCCUCAUGGGUGAUGGCCAGCCUAUUGGUCGCUACGAUGACAUGUGGGCUGGAUGGUGCGUCAAGGUAUGUAUUUAUUUAACUGAACUACAACUGUAUUUACACUUCACUUAACUGAAGUAAUGAAAUCUUCUCAUCUCAAAAAAAGAAGGAACUGAAGUAAUGAAACUGAUACAACUGUGUAAACUUCAGGUCAUCUGCGACCACUUGAGCCUUGGAGUGAAGACUGGGCUGCCAUACCUGUGGCACAGCAAGGCUAGCAACCCAUUUGUCAACUUGAAGAAAGAGUACAAGGGCAUCUUCUGGCAGGAGGACAUCAUCCCCUUCUUCCAGAACGCCACCCUCUCCAAGGAGUGUGACACAGUCCAGAAGUGCUACAUCUCACUCUCGGAGCAGGUCAAGGAGAAGCUUGGCAAGAUUGACCCUUACUUCGUGAAGCUUGCUGAUGCCAUGGUCACCUGGAUCGAGGCCUGGGACGAGCUGAACCCAUCUGAUACCGUCGUUGCUGCUGGGAACGGCAAGGCAGCAGCCAUGUAGGCUGGCUGGGGAGCCAAGAAUGUAUGGUUGGGGCCUAGAUAUAGCUCUUUUUGAGAAAGAGAUUACUGAAGCAGCUUUUAUAUUUCUUUCAUGUUAUGCUGGUGGUUCUUUUGUAGCUGGACAAGGAUUUGUUAUCAUUUACAUAAUUCAAGACAAUAAUAUUUAUCAUGUAAUUUUGAGAAAUCAAGCACCGUUUGUUAUUAUCGUGAAAUCUUUUUCGUUGAGCAUCACUCAUUU
rnacentral:lncRNA from 1 species